rnacentral:rRNA from 1 species
UACGGGGGGUGCUAGCGUUAUUCGGAAUCAUUGGGCGUAAAGGGCGCGUAGGCGGUCUCUUAAGUCAGAUGUGAAAGCCCUCGGCUUAACCGAGGAAGUGCAUUUGAUACUAAGUGACUUGAGUAUGGGAGAGGGAAGCGGAAUUCCUGGUGUAGCGGUGAAAUGCGUAGAUAUCAGGAGGAACACCGGUGGCGAAGGCGGCUUCCUGGACCAAUACUGACGCUGAGGCGCGAAGGCGUGGGGAG